ACAGGACACCCAACAGGACGGGAGCGUCCUCAGGAAGGAUGUUCUCUCUGCCUCUGCUCACAGCGGGGCUGGGGACGCGCCUGCUGAGAAAGUGAGCUCCUGGGACACGGGGUCAUCGGACUGAGGUCAAUUAGGGGGGCAGCUGGGCGCUGAAGUUCCAGGGCAACGCCCACGCCGUGUCCUUUGCCCCGGCAGUGGCCGCGUGUAGGUUUGGGAGCCGUUCCCCUCGCCCUGACGGCACCGCGUCAGCCUGCCAGCUCGGCCACGGCCACCCACUCCACCCGCGGCACCGGAGCCUGGGCCACGGGCUCCACCACACCUCCAGGCCACGGUGGCCACGGCGGCCACGGCACCAGGCACCGCUCGAGCAGGCAGAGCGGUAGGAAAAAUUUGUUUUACAUGUAAAAAACCCUUCGCAUCGUAUGAGACGUUGGAACUUUCAGCACUCGGCUGCGGUGUCACCUGACGUUUGCUCUGGAAUCCCAGUCCCUCCAAAUCACUAAGUCCUCCGUGUUCUUACCAUUUGUACGUUUGUGCUAGAAAGUGAAAAAUCUGUAGUGAUGUGCAAUGGAACAGACUCCAAAGAAUGAAUGAAAUUCUCUCAUUUUACACUUGCAAAAGUAAGUCUAUGAAAAUAUAAAAAAUUAUCAAAGUGUAUUUGUACAGUCAAAUAAAUUAGCAAGGUUUCCUCCCUCUCACGCUCCGGAAGUACCUGCAAAUACGCCACAGAAGGCAGGCCGCCGUUUCAGCCAACAGCUUCCUGAGUUGGAGCUCUCUAACUACGGUCACUGGUUUCCGUCCCAGACUUCACACAAGUACUGUUCCGCUUUCAAUGACAAACUCUAAAAUGCAUCACCGGACAGUGUAACAGUCUGGAGCUGGUGCCCUUUCCCUGGGACACAGGAAGGACUGCUCAGAGGGUCGGGUUUCACAAACAAAAUGUUCCUGAUCAUUCAGGUCCAACUAACCCCCCUCCCCCCACCCCCCUUUUAAAGUACACUUAAUUGGCUUAUCUUCUCACUUUCUUUAGGCUGGUAAAGGUUACACCUUUUUCAAUAGAUUGCUAUUUAAAAUGCAACAAUUUCUACUUGGACAGAUGUUGCUUUCAAUCACGUUUUUGAAAAAAAAUGUACAGGGUGAUAUAUAAAAACUGAGCAAAACUACGAAAUGUUUUGUUUCCUGGUUGAAAUUUGCAAUUCAAAUUUCUUUAGGACAAAAGGAAAAUGCAUUUGUGGGCUUUUGUGCAUCUGACACCCCAGGGAGCGAGCAGAAAGCAGGCCACCGCCCCCCCCCCCCCAGCACUACACCUGUGACACCUGUGACAACAGCUUCUGGAAACAGAAAUACAGAUCACCAACCCGAGGAUGAUGUUGGGGCGCGGUGACUCAAGACCUGAAAAACAAAACAUUUGUGCAGAGUUCAGAAUUUAACGUUGGCCUUUAUUCUCCAGACGUAAACCCUGUCAAGGGCAGUGAUGGGGCACGUUUCAAUAGGAAGGAGGAAGAAACUCACUGGCAAAACACAAUCGAGUGUUUGAACAGCUUAUUGCAAACAAAAGACCCCGGGGCCCACCGUCGCCUCCGCCGUCCAGCCCCCACGUCACAGCCACAGAACCCGGGGCCCAGUUCAUGAGUCAAGUCAUCCCAAUGAGCAGAGCCUACGUUACAGAUUUAAAGAUCAGACAUAAUUAAAGCAAUGGCAUGACGGAGGAGGCCGGCGAGGCCAGUGUGCAAACGUCAGCAUCUGCUGACCUAUAAGAAACGAAGCAUGUACGCACCAGAAUUUUUUUUUUUUUUUUAAACAAAAUCUUAGCUUUGUUCUUUUACUUGCCUCUCACUACACAUCAGAAAGGUAACAGCCCUUCCUGGAACUCACGCACUGCGCUACGUAAUUCAAGCUACACGUACGAAUACCGAAGGUUCCAUCAGGGAGCAGUUCCACGGCUUGUUUGCAACGAUCCCCUCAGCACGUGCCAUUAGGGAAGGUCACCCAGCUGCUGGCGUCACAGUUACAGUUAAUGGGAAAGACCAAGCUGACUGAAAGGGCUAUGAUAAACACCCUUGUAGGUUUAGAAGGGAAUUCUGUUAACAUCAACAAGGGCCAAGUCCUGCUCAGUCUCUGUGAACACGGGACAGGGUGCUUAAAGACAAGGGCGGGGUGUUCCGUGAAGAGCAGGCUGCAUGGAAAAGUUCCUGGGCACAGGAUGGUUCUUAAAAAUACCCAUUUCUUAAAUAAAAAAGGCUUACUCCGUCCUAAA